rnacentral:sRNA from 1 species
CCCUAGCCCUGAUAGCAGUGGAAAUCCUUUUGUGGAGCUUUUUAGCAGAACAAAAGAUUGGAACGAAUAGCAGGAAUAGCU